rnacentral:rRNA from 1 species
AGAGUUUGAUCCUGGCUCAGGAUGAACGCUGGCGGCGUGCUUAACACAUGCAAGUCGAACGAAACACCUUAUUUGAUUUUCUUCGGAACUGAAGAUUUGGUGAUUGAGUGGCGGACGGGUGAGUAACGCGUGGGUAACCUGCCCUGUACAGGGGGAUAACAGUCAGAAAUGACUGCUAAUACCGCAUAAGACCACAGCACCGCAUGGUGCAGGGGUAAAAACUCCGGUGGUACAGGAUGGACCCGCGUCUGAUUAGCUGGUUGGUGAGGUAACGGCUCACCAAGGCGACGAUCAGUAGCCGGCUUGAGAGAGUGAACGGCCACAUUGGGACUGAGACACGGCCCAAACUCCUACGGGAGGCAGCAGUGGGGAAUAUUGCACAAUGGGGGAAACCCUGAUGCAGCAACGCCGCGUGAAGGAUGACGGUUUUCGGAUUGUAAACUUCUUUUCUUAGUGACGAAGACAGUGACGGUAGCUAAGGAAUAAGCAUCGGCUAACUACGUGCCAGCAGCCGCGGUAAUACGUAGGAUGCAAGCGUUAUCCGGAUUUACUGGGUGUAAAGGGAGCGCAGGCGGGACUGCAAGUUGGAUGUGAAAUACCGUGGCUUAACCACGGAACUGCAUCCAAAACUGUAGUUCUUGAGUGAAGUAGAGGCAAGCGGAAUUCCGAGUGUAGCGGUGAAAUGCGUAGAUAUUCGGAGGAACACCAGUGGCGAAGGCGGCUUGCUGGGCUUUAACUGACGCUGAGGCUCGAAAGUGUGGGGAGCAAACAGGAUUAGAUACCCUGGUAGUCCACACUGUAAACGAUGAUAGCUAGGUGUGGGGGGUCUGACCCCUUCCGUGCCGGAGUUAACGCAAUAAGCUAUCCACCUGGGGAGUACGACCGCAAGGUUGAAACUCAAAGGAAUUGACGGGGGCC